CUUGAAUAACGCGCAGUGAAUUUCG
rnacentral:antisense_RNA from 1 species